GCCACCUUAGCUCAGCUGGUAGAGCAACUGAUUUGUAAUCAGUAGGUCGCCAGUUCGAUUCUGGCAGGUGGCUCAA
rnacentral:tRNA from 2 species